rnacentral:lncRNA from 1 species
GCCGGCUUUCUGCAAUCGCCCCCUAGGCCCCUCCGCUCUGCCGAGAGAAGCUCGGCCCCGCCCCUCUGCGGAGCUCCAGUCCGGCCCCGCCCCUCUGCGGAGCUCCGCUCCGGCCCCGCCCCUCUGCGGAGCUCCGCUCCGGCCCCGCCCUUCCGCAGAGCCGGGCUUGGGUUCCACCCCUCUGCAGAGGCCUGGGCAGGCCCCGCCCCCUGCGGAGCCCUGCUCUUCAGGCCCCGCCCCUCUGCAGAGCUCUACGCAGGGUCCUCCCUCCGCUGGCUCCGCCCCUUUGCGGUAGAAGCCGGGGCGGAGCUCCCCAGCCCUCACUGCGGUCUUUCUUUCCUGUGGCCUCGGCCGGUGAGGUCAUGUCUUUUCGAGCUCCGCCACACGUGGGGGGUGAAACCAGCUGGUGGCCCCCAUGAGAAGUAUGAGAGAUCGUUCAUGACAAGGAAUUUCAGGACCAGCACCUGUAUCUGGACUUCAGGUGACUUGUGAUAUACUGCUCCUGGGUGGUUACUAAGCUUACAAAGAGAUCAGAAGCACAGAAGGCUUUGAUCCUAGUGGAAGAACAGUGAUGAAAAACCCAGGAAUCUCCCCCCUCCAUGAAACUGAGUGGCAGAGUGAUUUGAAAUGGGUAUAAGAUGGAACUUCUGGUACUGGGAAGAACUGAUUGCUGGAUGAAGAAUAAUUACUAGUCCAAGUUGGGUUCUCUCUACUGUAUACAAUCAUUCCCUGAGGGGUUUGGGUGGCUAAUCAUGCAAAUUAAAAGGAUCUAAUAGGAUUUGCUACUUGAUAAGUGAAAGUAAUUACUCAUCUCCCUGUUGACUUGAUUAUUGUGAUUUUAAACAAAAAUUCUCUUUCUGUUAUAAUGAGCAACUGAAAUGUAAAUGCUAAAUAAAACUAGUAUAAAACUCCUUGUUUUGUGGUUUUGGGUGAUUUAUAAUAACAUGGGUAGGAAUUGUAAAGACAAUGAAGAACAUAACAGCGUCCCCAUUUCUAGGCCUGAAUUCUGUUAAUUUUAUUUCAUUUGACUCCAUAGCAAUGAGUUUUCUUUAGAAUAUCCACGCCUUGAAUUAAAAACCCAAAGCAAGCCAGGAGAAUGACCCAAAGGAGAAGGCUUUUGUAUCCAAUUGUGUACAAAAAAUAUGGCCAAAUGUCUGAGGAUUUCUAUGAAAGAAAACAACCUCCUAAGAGCAACUAAUUAAGGGCUUGAAGGGGAGAU